rnacentral:rRNA from 1 species
GAUCCUGGCUCAGGAUGAACGCUAGCUACAGGCUUAACACAUGCAAGUCGAGGGGCAGCAUGAACUUAGCUUGCUAAGUUUGAUGGCGACCGGCGCACGGGUGAGUAACACGUAUCCAACCUUCCGUUUACUCAGGGAUAGCCUUUACGAAAGAAAGAUUAAUACCUGAUAGUAUGGUGAGAUUGCAUGAUAGCACCAUUAAAGAUUUAUUAGGUAAACGAUGGGAUGCGUUCCUAG